ACGGGUGAGUAACGCGUGGGUAACCUGCCUUAUACAGGGGGAUAACAGUUAGAAAUGACUGCUAUUACCGCAUAAGCGCACAGGAUUGCAUGAUCUGGUGUGAAAAACUCCGGUGGUAUAAGAUGGACCCGCGUCUGAUUAGCUUGUUGGUGAGGUAACGGCCCACCAAGGCGACGAUCAGUAGCCGACCUGAGAGGGUGACCGGCCACAUUGGGACUGAGACACGGCCCAAACUCCUACGGGAGGCAGCAUG
rnacentral:rRNA from 1 species